AUUGAACGCUGGCGGCAGGCCUAACACAUGCAAGUCGAACGAGUUGCGGACGGGUGAGUAAUGUCUGGGAAACUGCCUGAUGGAGGGGGAUAACUACUGGAAACGGUAGCUAAUACCGCAUACCAUCGGAUGUGCCCAGAGGGGAUGAGCUAGUAGGUGGGGUAACGGCUUACCUAGGCGACGAUCCCUAGCUGGUCUGAGAGGAUGACCAGCCACACUGGAACUGAGACACGGUCCAGACUCCUACGGGAGGCAGCAGUGGUGAAUAUGGCACAACGGGCGCAAGCCUGAUGCAGCCAUGCCGCGUGUAUGAAGAAGGCCGUCGGGUUGUAAAGUACUUUCAGCGGGGAGGAGUUACCCGCAGAAGAAGCACCGGCUAACUCCGUGCCAGCAGCCGCGGUAAUAC
rnacentral:rRNA from 1 species